AUGUGCACUCGGUCAGUGGGUGGCAGGCCUAGCGAAAGGAAUACGGCCCGGGAUACGGCUAGGAAAAAGGUAGGUGUAUUCUGUGCGGCCCAUUGCUCGGAAACUGUCCCCCGCACGCUGGCUGUUUGGAUAGCGAUUAGGCCCAUGACCAUUGUUCGAAAUAGCACAGAAUCAUCAAGGAAAAAAAUAGGGAAUCUCUCCAGCACGACCAGAGUUGCGUGGAGUAAACCAGAACCACCCAACCGCUCUGCUGCUCCAGGGAAAAUAUCUGGUGCACCGCCGAGACCCAUCCAUCCCCAUCUCCAUCCAUCUGGCUCCACCGAGGCGACUGUGCUGCUCCGCCGAGACCUGCUCCAUCCCCAGCUGCAUCUGUUUGGGGCACGGCGGCGGCAGCGCUGCCGGCCCGAUAUCUACUUGAUUCCCGUCUCCAUCCGUUUGCCGGACGGCGGUGUCUUUCACAGCACAGCAAGAUGUCCACCAAUGGCGUCGAGCUCGAUGGGGUGUGUGCUCCGCCCGCGGCAUGGAACAGCUGCGCCUAUCCAGUCGAGUCGCAGGAUUCGAUGA
rnacentral:rRNA from 1 species